GUGCUCCCCUCAGGGCCCCAACCACGUGGCCGGAUCGUCUCCACCUGAGCAACUGCAGAGCGGCUGUGGCACCUUGGAGGUUCGGAAGGGACCUGCGUGGCUAAUACACAGCCUGUUUUAAUGUAUAAGGAAUGCUGUUUUCCUCUCCAUAUCACUUCUAGAAGACAGAACAGGGCAAAAAACCAUGGCAUGCACUGAAACAAAGAGGCAUGACAAUUGAGGUACAGAAAAAGUAAUCAACAUAUAUUUGUGAAUGUCCAAGUAGACAGUAAGUUAUUACGGAAUAUAUAAUGAAGGCACUUAAAAAUGGAAAUGGCUUCCUUUGCAAACAGUGCUUCUACACGCACUAUAAAACCUGGGCCAAACCAUCCUAAUAAGAGAGAAAAAAUGGAUCUGGUGGUUUGGGACUCCCUGAAGAAAAGAAUACGUCAUCUGUGCCUGGUGCUCCUUCAUCUUUGAAUCAUUAGUGAACUAUGGUGUUGGAUAUCAAGUCCGCUUUGACAAUUUUGUACUGACACAAAACUUCAUUCAUUUUACAAGUUAGUGAAGAUACUUCAAAAAAGGGCAUGGAGGGGUUGGUACAACAGCAUACAAACAUUCAUUAAAAUGGUUUAGAAUCAGUAAAUUAUUUAACUUUUAUAGUUCAUUAGGCCAUGGAAACAUGUCACUAUUUUAAGAAUAUGUUUAAAAAAUUUUCUUUAACAUUUUAUGUCCUGUGUAUAAAUUAGGCAUUCAUAUAAGAAGUUCUCUGGUCAAUAUGAGAAACUAAGUAACUGGGACAAGCCUCUAAACUUCCCUCUCCCUACUCUCUGCAACAUUCUGCCCUGGGACUUUAUGCAUCUUCCAAAGAGAACAAAGUCACCACUGUUGAUACUGUGAUGCUCUGCUUCAAAGCUGCUGAUAGGUAUGGGCACAAAACGGCAUUUGAGGUCCUUAUCCUCCAGACCAAUAAGAAUCUACAACUUGUGUAAUUAUCUUGAUGAAAACUUAGCUCACUUUAUGUUGUUCUUGGCAACGAAGUUAACCACAAUAAA